rnacentral:rRNA from 1 species
CCUGGCUCAGAACGAACGCUGGCGGCAUGCCUAACACAUGCAAGUCGAACGAGACCUUCGGGUCUAGUGGCGCACGGGUGCGUAACGCGUGGGAACCUGCCUUUAGGUUCGGAAUAACAGUGAGAAAUUACUGCUAAUACCGGAUAAUGUCUUCGGACCAAAGAUUUAUCGCCUUUAGAUGGGCCCGCGUUGGAUUAGCUAGUUGGUGGGGUAAAGGCCUACCAAGGCGACGAUCCAUAGCUGGUCUGAGAGGAUGAUCAGCCACACUGGGACUGAGACACGGCCCAGACUCCUACGGGAGGCAGCAGUGGGGAAUAUUGGACAAUGGGCGAAAGCCUGAUCCAGCAAUGCCGCGUGAGUGAUGAAGGCCUUAGGGUUGUAAAGCUCUUUUACUGGGGAUGAUAAUGACAGUACCCAGAG